AUUUCCGUUAUUCCCCUCUGUUAUGAAGAUAACUUCUACCAUUGAUGACCAUUAUUCUUGUAACCUAUCACAUCCAUAACCUCCUCCAUUAUGUUAAUGGUUAAUGUAAUGUUUAUGACAACCUUUUGCAUGCCUGUAUAUGACCCUAUAAAUAGAGGUAUAAGGAUUCAUAUUGUAUACACUUGAAAGACUUUUAUAUUUGAUACUUGGAAGAAUGAAUAGCUCUAAUCUUUUGUCUUGUCUCCUUAUUUUCUUGUUUAAUUCUUUUUCAUGGUGUUAUUGCUUAGAUUAAUUUUAAUACGUUAUCAGCACGAUGUUCUAACUAAUUUAGCGUUUCAAAGUUGAGAACAACGUUGUGCAUCAAUUUUCAUGAUUUGAGUUUGCUGAUACUGCUCAUUGAAAUAAAUCAGGUAUUCUGAUAAUAUGAUGAUGGCUAAAGCAGUUGAUGAAAAGUCAUUAAAUCCGUCACAUUGAUAUGCUUCAUUCUUUGAUGUGAAUUUGAUAGCAUUGCGUAAUAAGUUUGAAAAGAAGACAAGUGAUUUAAUAUAUGUGGGCGUGAUGGAACCAAGUAUAAAUAUAUAUAUAUAUAUAUAUAUAGUAAUUGUAAAAGAAAA